rnacentral:rRNA from 1 species
AGGAUGAAGAGUUUGAUCCUGGCUCAGGAUGAACGCUAGCUACAGGCUUAACACAUGCAAGUCGAGGGGUAGCAUGGGAGGAGCUCGCUUCUCCCGAUGACGACCGGCGAAUGGGUGAGUAACG